rnacentral:sRNA from 1 species
AUAUCUCUCUGUACGGGAAGGAUGAGAAGGUUCGAUUCGAGCGUCAGCGAGAAAGCGUUGCCGCAGGCAACGACCCGAAGGGCGAAGCGCGCAGC